UGGGGAAUAUUGGACAAUGGGCGCAAGCCUGAUCCAGCCAUGCCGCGUGAGUGAUGAAGGCCUUAGGGUUGUAAAGCUCUUUCACCCACGACGAUAAUGACGGUAGUGGGAGAAGAAGCCCCGGCUAACUUCGUGCCAGCAGCCGCGGUAAUACGAAGGGGGCUAGCGUUGCUCGGAAUCACUGGGCGUAAAGGGCGCGUAGGCGGCCGAUCAAGUCAGGGGUGAAAGCCUGUGGCUCAACCACAGAAUUGCCUUUGGUACUGUUCGGCUCGAGACCGGAAGAGGUUGGUGGAACUGCGAGUGUAGAGGUGAAAUUCGUAGAUAUUCGCAAGAACACCAGUGGCGAAGGCGGCCAACUGGUCCGGUUCUGACGCUGAGGCGCGAAAGCGUGGGGAGCAAACAGGAUUAGAUACCCUGGUAGUCCACGCCGUAAAACGAUGAAUGCCAGCCGUUGGGCAGCUUGCUGCUCAGUGGCGCAGCUAACGCUUU
rnacentral:rRNA from 1 species